UCCGUAGGUGAACCUGCGGAGGGAUCAUUACACAAUAAACAUAUGAAGGCUGCACCGCCAACAGGCGGCAAGGCUGGAGUAUUUUAUUACCCUUGUCUUUUGCGCACUUGUUGUUUCCUGGGCGGGUUCGCCCGCCUCCAGGACCACAUGAUAAACCUUUUUUAUGCAGUUGCAAUCAGCGUCAGUACAACAAAUGUAAAUCAUUUACAACUUUCAACAACGGAUCUCUUGGUUCUGGCAUCGAUGAAGAACGCAGCGAAAUGCGAUACGUAGUGUGAAUUGCAGAAUUCAGUGAAUCAUCGAAUCUUUGAACGCACAUUGCGCCCUUUGGUAUUCCAAAGGGCAUGCCUGUUCGAGCGUCAUUUGUACCCUCAAGCUUUGCUUGGUGUUGGGCGUUUUUUGUCUUUGGUUUUGUCCAAAGACUCGCCUUAAAACGAUUGGCAGCCGGCCUACUGGUUUCGCAGCGCAGCACAUUUUUGCGCUUGCAAUCAGCAAAAGAGGACGGCACUCCAUCAAGACUCUAUAUCACUUUUGACCUCGGAUCAGGUAGGGAUACCCGCUGAACUUAAGCAUAUCAAUAAGCGGAGGA
rnacentral:rRNA from 1 species